rnacentral:tRNA from 3 species
GGGGCGGUAGCUCAGUCGGUCAGAGCCGUGGACUCAUAAUCCAUUGGUCGCGGGUUCGAGCCCCGCCCGCCCCACCA